rnacentral:rRNA from 1 species
AUGCCUCAAUCAUCUGAGAACAGCUCAGACAAGAAAAUCUCGGUCAAAAAAAGGCCGGUAAAGCCUUCAAGAAGGCUCCUUGGAGAAAUCAUGAUUCCUACAUUUGUCCCAGGAGAUUUCAAAUUUAUGAACAAACCCAGAGCACUCCAUGAAUACCUAUUCAUCAAAGAAGGACAGGACGAAUGCGGAGAUCUAAAUGUAUAUAUUAGCUUGAUGCGACCCGAUUGGAUUAGAGGAAAACAAGCAAUGCAACAGCUACGGAAAGGAGAUCAUGGACAGAUGGAGGGCUCCAUCGCAAACGCAUUGUUCGACGAAUGGACAGUGCAGCAACAAUAA